GCCUAUGCUAUUAAAACCUGAACUGCCAGCAGCAUUUGUCUUGCAUCUUAAGCUAUUCCCGAUUAGCUCAUAAAAAAAAAGUCUGCAAUGGAUGCAUUUGCAGUUGCAGUAUUGCUGAUGUUGUAUAUCGUUUUCUCAGAAAAAGAAAGAAAUGACGGCACGACAUGCAGGGAAGGAAGGCCACAGUGGCCGAGGAACAUGCGAUAUUCACCAGGCCAGAAAAGAGGGACAACAAUGGCCAUGGCCGUCGUGCCGUCCGGUGAAAUUCCUACCCUGAUUAACACAUGUUUUACUAUUCCUUACCUUAUCGUGUACAUUCCUUCAUCUGACAUGAAGGCUGAAAUAUUAAUAUAAACGCGUCGUGAUCUCCACUGGGUAUUUGGCUAACGUUACACAUUCAUUGUACGUUCUGGUACGGAAUGCUAUUGCAGUGCAGUGUGAGAUAACAAAAUAGGCUACUUUGUCAUUGAAACACACGGGAAUGGGUCAUUUAGCAAGCAGCAGUUUUUUUUUUUUUUUUAAUAAAUGUGUAUUUGUGUGUGAAUAUGUCACGUGUGACCCUACUUGAAAAUUUUGUUGUAUAAUUUGCUGCUGCCAGCACUCUGUGAAACAGGCGUCCCGAGCGCAGAUCCUGGACAAGGCCACCGAGUACAUCCAGUACAUGAGGCGGAAAAACCACACUCACCAGCAGGACAUCGACGACCUGAAGCGGCAGAACGCCCUGCUGGAGCAGCAGGUCAAUGCGGUGACAUGUACCAGGACAACCAUCAAGCCGGACAGUGUCAACAGGCUGGUGAAAAGACCCAUGGGGGCUAAAGGUUAUUUUGAUGACUUUUCAUUGAAGUUUUAGUUUCCUGUUUCUUGUUAAUUGAGUCAUAUAGAGUAAAGUGUGCUAGUAACUAGAGGGCAUUAAUCAUCAUGUUUUAUUGUUUUAUUGUAACUGUUCAUUAAGAGAAACUGUGUUAAUGGGAAAAAUAGUUUUCCAGACCUUAAUCUUUCUUGAUCAUCUUUAAUAUUUGAAAUGUUUCUUUCUUUUUUUUUU